rnacentral:tRNA from 1 species
CGGGAUAUAGCUCAGUGGCAAAGCACGUGCCUGGCAAGCCUGAGGACCUGAGUUCGAUUCCCAGUACCCUGC